rnacentral:rRNA from 1 species
GAUGAACGCUAGCUACAGGCUUAACACAUGCAAGUCGAGGGGCAGCACAGUGUAGCAAUACACGGGUGGCGACCGGCGCACGGGUGCGUAACGCGUAUCCAACCUUCCCGAUACUCUUGGAUAGCCUUCCGAAAGGGAGAUUAAUACAAGAUGGUGUUUCAAUUCCGCAUGUUAUUGAAACUAAAGAUUUAUCGGUAUCGGAUGGGGAUGCGUGACAUUAGAUAGUAGGCGGGGUAACGGCCCACCUAGUCUACGAUGUCUAGGGGUUCUGAGAGGAAGGUCCCCCACACUGGAACUGAGACACGGUCCAGACUCCUACGGGAGGCAGCAGUGAGGAAUACUGGUCAAUGGUCGGAAGACUGAACCAGCCAAGUAGCGUGAAGGAUGAAGGUUCUAUGGAUUGUAAACUUCUUUUAUACGGGAAUAAAACCUCCCACGUGUGGGAGCUUGUAUGUACCGUAUGAAUAAGCAUCGGCUAACUCCGUGCCAGCCGCCGCUGUAACAC